ACACAAAUAUAAAAUGUGACAUUUACUAAAUAUUUGUCAAUUAAAAAAAAAACAAAAAUAAACCCGCGCUUUGAAAGCGCGGGUCAAAAUCUAGUAUUUAUGUUAAAUUACAAAAUUUGAUUGCAAUAGAACUAUAAUAUUAAAUGAAACAUAAUAAAAUAUAUAUUUUAAAGAUUUGGUGUUAUGAAUAGUGUUACAUCAAAUUUGGUGUAACAUUAUUCACAUUACAUCAAAUUUGGUGGGAUUAUGUUAAAUUUGGUGACUUGUUGGAGAUCAAAUUACACCAAAUUUCGUGUUUUGGUGUCUUGUUGGAGAUGACCUAAAAAACUUAUCAAUCCUCAAAGCAAGUGUAAUGGUGACGAAGGAAAAAAAAUUCUUUUGAUAUAAAACACCAAAAAUAGUUUUUUUUUUGCUAACUAAAAUUAUUUCGAUAUAAAACCUUUUAAAUAGUUUUUUUAACCUCUUACACACGUAUGACAGAUGUCAGAAUAUAUUCGGGGUAUUAGAGUAUCAUUAUCUACUUUAAGAAAAAGUUUUUUUAAUUUUUUAGUUAAAACUUAAGAACUAAUUUCUUAUAUUUUAGUAAGAACCUUAUCCUGAUAAACCAGAGAUAGUGAUGCUCAUAGUAUCCAACUAGAGUAGCCGAUAUUCGAGAUAGCAUGGACUUUAAACGAAAGUAAAACAUUAAAUUACUUCUUUUGACAACACAAGAAAAAAAAACAAAUUGACAAGUAUUCGGGUUUUGUUAUGAUUUAGUUGACGAAAAGUAAAAAAGUAGUUGAUAUGGCCGACACGGUCCUUCUUUUCUUUCACUUAUUUUUUGUCUUCUUUGCAGGUUGUUCAUAACCCAUUAUAACUUUUCCAUGCAGCUAUAUUUUAGGUAAAAAUAUAAUAGUCAUGGUUUUGUUUUGGAUUUUUUUUUGAGAAAACUAAUAAUCACAAACUCAAUACUAACCAUCAAAGUGAGAUAGUAGUUUAAGGUCUUAAUUAGUAGAGCAUUAUCAUAAACAUUAUGCUCUACAUUAUCUAAUCAAUAUUUGUUAAAAAACAUUUAGAAAAGCACUUACCAAAUGUUAAUGAUAUCCAGAAGCUUUCUCGUCAAUACUCUCAUUUAAAUCUUUUAGUAGAGCAUUUUCAUUUACAAUUUGUAAAAUUAAAAAAAAUUUACAAUUAAUUCAUGUAUUUUAUUUAAUAAUAUCAUAAAAUUAUUUUUUUAUCCAUAAAAUUAUUUUUUUAUCCAGAAAAUAAAAAUUUAUUUCUAAAAUAAAUUUACAAUAAAAUAUAUUUUUCAAAAGUAUUUCUCAUUUAAAAUAUUAUAAAUUAAAUUAUUUUCUAAAAUAUGAAAUGUUAUUUUUUAAAAUAUAAAAUUUAACUGUAAAGUUUAUUUUUAAAAUAACAGUUUUUGAUAUAAACAUAAUUUUGAUAUUACUAAAAAAAUAAAUUAAUUAUAUAUUUUUCUUAAUUUUAUAUAUUAAUAUAUAUAUUCAAUAGAAAUAAAUAUAUUAUAUAUUAUAUAAUAAUUUUAAAUAGCAUGUCCAUGCUCCUCUACCAAUCAUUUUGUUAAAUAGUUUAACAAAAGAAUGCAGCUUAUGCAACAUUACUGCUUCUAUAGUAUAUUAGGACUGCUUUAUCAUCCAGUCUGCUAAUCAAGGCUUUAGAAAUCUAAUCAUAACAAGAAAAUCAGAAUCAAUCAGUUCUUAAUAUAUUUUUGAUAACCACUAAAACAUGGUAAGUGGUAACUGACUUGCCUCUAAUUCUUUUUAGCCUCUGAAAUCAUAUUUAAUGUUAAAACAUUUUUUAGAUUAUAGUUUUGGACCCUUAUUUAUGCCAUCUAUAUAUGUAAAACCGUAUAGCAUUAUGUCUCACAUAAUUUCUCUAUAGAUUUAUUUAAACCUAAAAAUCAAAUGUUAAAAAUUAAAAUUAAAAUUAAACCAAAAAAGCACGGAUCAAAAUUCAAUUUCAUAAGAUUUGCUCCAUUGUAGAAGAUCAGUGGUUUAUAGUAUGAGACUAUUUUAUUCAAAAAAUUCAAAAUGUAAUUUUACCAGCAUAAUUCAUAAUUGUCCGAAAAUAUGAACCAAGCGAAAAAUUUUAUCGGGUUUCUAACAUUAUAAUCUAGAGCAAAAUGAAAACUAAAAUAUUCAAUCAUUCCAACCAAACUCAAUUUCAUAACUAACCAAAUGAUUUCUAUAUCUUAAACCGAAAAAAAAAACUGAAAACCUUAAACCAAACUGAAACCAAAAACCAACAAAAACAAAGCAACUUGGAACCGAACCGAAUGUCCAUGCUUGAAAAUAUUAAUAAACAAACAGGCGGGUUAAUAAAUUUAUCAACAAAAAAUAAUUCCUCACUUUCAAAGCGCGGAUCAAAAUCUAGUCACUCUUAUAUCUAAUUAGUUGACCAAGAGUUAGGUCUUAAUUAGUAUUGAAUCUGAAUUUGGGAAGCUUAGAUAAGAAGAACAAAACUCGACUGUAGGUUAUUUCAAAAGCGUUUUUAUUAAUUUGAUGAGAAAAGUGUUACACUGUGUAUGAACAAGAGAGAAAUAAGCCAGCACUCGGCGGAUUAUACCAAAAAAGUGCAAGUCGGCGAAAAAGAGUUAAGACAUAGUUAAAUCCUAAUUUCUAGCCGUAAGUCUUUUGUGACCAAUUUUGAAUACUCCUUUUAGUCUUUUUUGUCCUUCUUUUAUACCCGAAUCCUCUCACCACUUUGCCUUAAGUUGGUUUAACUUAGUAAAUUGGGCCGAACUUAUCGACCGAUCAUUUGGACCGAGUCCUCGAGUCGUUCUUAUAGCCGUCGAACAAUCGAACCGAGCUCGUUGGCCGAACUCAUGGUGCCGAAUAGUGUUGAGGUCGUGGCGCCAAGUAAUACCAAGUUGACUCGACUUCGUAGGCCGAGUUCUUUAUUUGACGGAUCUCACGGAAAGAUGCAAUCUAUUCCAACAAUUUACAUGUAGGUUUGUUAAAAAAAAAACCUACAUGUAAAAAGAUAUAUAAUCAAUACUAAAUUUGUAUUAUAUUAUUUCAAAGCCACUUAUGUGGUAUUUUUGAAUUAAAAUGUUAGAUUUACUAAUCAACCAAAUAAAAAUUAAUGUAAAAUAUAUGCAGAAAACCAAAAAAAAACACAGUUAAGAAAAGGUUCUCAGUUAACUCCUCUUGUUCGGAAUCACCAUUGGAAGAAGUUAAAAAAAAAACUAUGGAUUAUGAAAAUAGCAAAGAGAUUAAUCAUCAUGUGUUUUUAAAAAAACUUCUCAAUCACAUGAACAAUGAUGUGUUUUUUUUUGGACGAUGAUGUGUCUACGUAUUUCAUCGUAUCUCAAUAUAUGAUAAAUCGCAUCAAAGGAAUAAUAAAAUGAUGGUGGGCUGUCAUUAAUCCGUAGUAUUUAAGCGUCCCAAACAAAUCAAUAUGUAUGUACAGACAAAGAGCAUGUGAUCUCUACUAACUUUUUUCUGGCCCAUAACAAAACAAAUAAGCUUCUAUACAACCUCAACUUCGAAAGCAUACUCUAUAGAAGCUCUUAUCUUUAAUUGCCAGCCAGGAGACGAAAUCAAAUUCCGGUUUAUCCUAUAAUAAUUGUAUCUCCUAAGGAGCACGAAUUGGUUCCUAAACUAAAAUAAAUAAUUUGUUUUUUUUUUCAAAAAGAAGUUCAAAUCAAUUGAUGAAAUAUUUGGAUAAAGUGACACCUGAAUCAAAUCGAACCAAACAAAUUAAUAGUUUCAAUUCUACUUUUUUUUAUAAAACAUGUUUUUGUUAAAUUCAAGUUUAUCAUGAACUUCUAAAUUAAAAUCAUUUGAUGACAAGUGAACUGAAGAAAUUUUAAUAUAUUGGUUAAUUAUUUCGCCAACUACUAAUGUAAGAUUUUCAUUUAUUUAUUAAUUUUUUUAAAAAAGUGUUACUGUGGGAACAAUAUCCAUAGAGUGGUCUAACAUCAAGUGAUUCUGAUACCAUGUUAAGUUAUAUAUAUGUCAACCUAAAAUUAAUUAGUGAUAGCUGGAUUGACCAAUAUAUUUUAUAUAUUAUUUAAGAUUCCUUUCAGCUUUCGAUGUGAAGAUUUUGUCUCUACUACACUCAUUGAAAUGAUAUCUUUUGAGUAUCAAUUUUAGAAUGUUCAUGCAAUGGUUGAUGGACACCUUUUGAACCUGAUUGAUAUGGAUAGAACUAACCUGUGUGAACUUGUUUCUAAUACCAUAUUAAAUUCAGAUUUAUCAUGGCUCCUAUUUUAAAAUCAAUUGACAGUAAUAAGAUUCGUCAUGACUUUUUAUAUAAUAGUUAUAUAUUUCUCCAACUAGCUGCAAGACUUACAUUUAUUCAUCAACACUUUUUCUUACACUCAAACGUUGGUAAUUGUAGAGCCAACUUCCACGAUUGGCACAACAUCAGAGUGAUAAUUUGGUGAGAGUUAAUAAUACUUCUACCGGUUCUUUGCCCUCAUCAAUCUAUCAGUUUUAUCAUGUGUUGUAAAAAACUUCUCAAUUACAUGAAUGCGGUGAAUCUCCGGCCUUAAGUAUGCCUGUGCGUUUUUCACUCGGGUCCCAUUUGAUAAUUAUCAAAUGAAUUAAUAAAAUGUUGGAACGUCAUCUCCCCAUCCGGACUAUGAGAUGUCCUUAAUGAAUCUUCGUCAAUAUAGUAUCAACAAACCAAGAACAUGUGAUCUUUUAACUUUUUCUCAUAACCUUUUCUGGCUCACAACAAAACAAACAACUUGUACAAAAUCUCAACUUCAGGUAUUUUCGACACAAUCCUUUUUCCUAUAAGGAAUACGAAUUUGUUCCUAAAUUAAAGAGUUUAUUUUUUAAAAAAAAAUUCCAGAUCAAUUGAUGAAACAUUUUGGUAGAAACGUCAACUAUGAAUCAAAUCGAACCAAACAAAUUUAUAGUUUCAAUUCUAGUUGUUUCUAACAUAGUAAAAUCUACAGAGUCCCAACUAAGGUAGAAGUUGGAAUCUGUUUCUCAUUCUCACCACGGUUUUAUGCGUUCAAAGUGGCUCAAAUAAUUAGGAGACUGACCUUAAUCCAUGAUCAAUUAUUUUAUAGAAUCUCAUGUAGUGUUUGUUACAAUAAUUUAGUUUUAUGAGUCACUUUGUACUAGAUUGAUUAUAUGUAUAAAGUAAGUUCCGGACCACAUUUUUUUUAAAAUGGUGGUCCAGCUGAAGAACGAACCAGCACGCCAUAGUGGGUCUGAGUGAUGCUGAGCCGUUAUCCGUACACUGCUGAAAGCGGGAAGUAGUCAAUGCUCUGUAAAACCAGCCUGACGCAUUACCCUCCAACUUUAGCACCCACCUGACUUGAGCCUUUGCUCAAACCAGACAGAUAACUCUCAGCUUGGACUGGGCAGCUCAGAAACAUGCCAAACCAGAACCGACCCGUGGACCAAACCAGUGUUCCACCAUCUUAUUGUCCCCAAUCGUGUCACAAGCUCUCGUUACGUAGCUCGACCCAACCAGUGUUAGAGUUUGGGAUAUGAAAUAAAAAGUAAUUGCUCUCAGAAUAAUAAUUAGAUAGAAGAAAGACUCAAUUUAGUAUUCUGAAAGCUUGUAUAUUAAUCUAAAGAUCAAGCUUGUUAUCGUGAGAUAUAUAUAUCUCAAACCUUAACACUAUUGCUAAAAGAAAGUAACAAUUCUAUAAAGUACAAACUCACUAAUUUCCUAUUUUAAUAUAUAAACAUAAAUUUUCCUUUUUAUAAGUCAUGUGUUUGGCACAUAUUUCAUUAAACUCAUCUUCUUCCUUGUCGUACUUUUUGUAUUGGCCAUCAUUUUCAUUCUUCAAUGUUUACAUCUCUGGAAGAAAUAAAAGCUGUUGGUUACAUUCCAACAGUCUCUCUUAAACCAGAAAUUGUUUGGUUAUCUUUGGAACUCAAUAUUCCUUUCACCACGUCUGCAAAACUCCAAGGUAGGCUUUGUGGCUUAAACUCUCUCUGGGUUUGUGUCUCCAGGACAUGACUUUAUCAUUUGUUGUUCACAGAGUUUUCAAGUUUGAUUACAUUUUCUAUAUUAAUCUCAAUCUGGAUUAAAUUGACUGAAUUGGAAGUACUAUUUUCCUCCAUAAGCCUUUUGGAUUGUUUGGAUUCAGUGACCUCCAUCCUCCUCUUGCUAGAAUUAUCCUCAACAAUCAAUUUCACAAGUAAUUUCUCAUUAUCUUUCUUAUUACUCUGAACUUUGUAACUUGUGUUUUGCUUCUUGGAUUGCGGGUGUAAACUGAAUUCUUUAUUAUUGCUGAUCAUCUUAAUUUCUUCAUUAAUAGAAUGUCUCCAGUCUUUGUCUUUGACAACUUCUUCAUAGUUGUUAAAAAAAAAGACAACUUCUUCAUUACUGAACUUUUCAAACGGAAUGCUUUGUUCGUCAAGUUGCAGUAGCUCAUACGACCUUUUUGUGGAAUCAUUGUUCUCUAGCUCACUCUUUCUGGGAUUCUCUCCAACCAUCUUCGCUGUGAUUGCAACACCUUUGAUUUCUUGGUUUAUCAUCCAAAUCUUGGAAUGUAUGGUUGGUUCCUCGACUCUUGUCAAUCGCCUUCUUGAACUUUGCAUAGUAAGUUCCCUCUAGACUAUUGAUUUUCUCCAUAUUCAAAUCUGCUUUCUUGCAUUUGUAGUGCAUUCAACAACUCCUGUAAAGUUAGUGAUUUUAGAUAUUGUGUUUCCUCAAUAACACCAAAAUAAGGAUCAUACUUUGUUGUUAAAGAGGACAAUUUUUUUGACUCCAAAUACUCUUCUGGCAUAUCAUCUCCAUAUAUAUGACUUCAUCUCAUUGUGUAAUUCAGUAAUUCUCUUCACAAAUUCCCUUAUUGUGUCUUUAUAUGUUGGCUUUAAACUCCAAAACGUGGCCCUUAGCCUUUGUAGCCUAUUUGUGAUGUCUUUGCAUCUCCCUUGUACUCUAUGUCUAGCAAGUCCCAUGCUGCUUUGGUUGAUUCUUCAUCAGACAACCUUCCUCGAGAAUAUUCUCAUUCAAUGCACUAUGAAAUAGUUGCAAAGCAACUUGAUCUUUAACUUCUGAUUCUUCCAAGUCUUUUACCGAUUUAAGUUACUUCUUUAUUGGUAUCCUAAUGAUUUGGCUCGUUAUGCUCGCUUUCCAUCAUCGUCAUAAUUAUCUCAUUUUUUCUAGUACCAAACUGUUUAGGGUAAAUGUGUGUAGCCUUGUGAUACUACGAAAGCAUGAAGUAAGUAGUAAAUAUACAAGAUUAAAUGAUCAAAUAUUAAUCUUAUUAAAUAAAAGAGUCGUGAUUACAACUUAUUGGUUAAAGAACCCUAGUUUUAGCCAUCUAAUUCUAUAGUCGAAGUUUUGAAUAGUUGAUCUCGUGUUCUAUGGUUUGGGACCUCCUUUUAUAAAUUGUCCUUAAUCGAAAGUUAGGUUAGUUAUUUCCAUAUUCUAAAAUAUGAAAAGAUCUUACUUUAUUAGAAGUUUUUCAUUUUAUCUGGAGGCAAAGAAAAUUCCUGCCCAUGAACCAAAAAUCAUCAAGGCAGGAGGAAAAAAACCGGCUUCCAUAUGACUUCUUAGAUUAAUUAUCCCAACAAUAAAUAAUAAGCUUAUUUUCUUACACAUCUUCAAAUAUUCUAUUUAUCAAUGUGAUUAGUCUCUACCAAUAUUUUGAAUGUAAUUUUAAGCUACUAGAAUAGUUAAAUUAAUUAUUACAAAUAUGAUUUAACACAAAAGAGCAUGUUGUUUUGCGUCUAGAAAAACUAAACCGUAAAAAAUAAAAAUACAAAUAAGUUACUAUAAAGACAUUAAUAUAAUUAAUUAUUUGAUUCAUUAUACUAUUAAUGACUAUU